AUGUCACACAGGAAGUUCUUGGCCCCCCGCCAUGUCUCCCUGGGCUUCCUGUCGGAAGCACAGCAGUGGCCGGCACUGCGGCAAGGUGAAGAGCUUCCCCACGGAUGACGCCUCCAAGUCCAUGCACCUGACAGCCUUCCUGGGCUACAAGGCAGGCAUGACACACAUCAUAUGCGAGUUGGACCAGCCGGGCUCCAAGGUGAACAAGAAGGAAGUGGUGGAGGCCGUGACCAUCGUGGAGACGCCGGCUAAUGGUGGUGGUGGGCAUCGUGGGCUGCGUGGAAAUGCCACGUGGCCUCUGCACCUUCAAGACCAUCUUCGCCGAGCACAUCGGUGAUGAAUGCAAGAGGCGCUUCUGUAAGAACUGGCAUAAGACCAAGUACUGCAAGAAGUGGCAGGACGACAUGGGCAAGAAGCAGCUGGAGAAGGACUUCAGCAGCAUGAAGAAGUACUGCCAGGUCAUCCGUGUCAUCGCCCACACGCAGAUGCGCCUGCUGCGACAGAGGAAGGCUCACCUCAUGGAGAUCCAGGUGAAUGGCAGCACCGUGGCUGAGAAGCUGGACUGGGCCCACGAGCGCCUGGCGCAGCAGGUGCCCAUGAACCAGGUGUUUGGGCAGGAUGAGAUGAUUGAUGUCAUCGGUGUGACCAAAGGCAAAGGCUACAAAGGGGUGACCAGCCGCUGGCACACCAAGAACCUGCCCCGUAAGACACACCUACCGCCUGUGCAAGGUGGCCUGCAUUGGGGCCUGGCAUCCUGCACGCGUGGCCUUCUCUGUGGCGUGAGCUGGGCAGAAAGGCUACUAUCACCGCACAAUCAACAAGAUCUGCAAGAUCGGUCAGGGCUACCUGAUCAAGGACGGCAAGCUGAUCAAGAACAACGCUUUCACCAGCUAUGACCUGUCGGACAAGAGCAUCAACCCCCUGGGUGGUUUUGUCUACUAUGGUGAAGUGACCAAUGACUUCGUCAUGUUGAAGGGCUGUGUAGUGGGGACCAAGAAGCGUGUGCUUACCCUGCACAAGUCCCUGCUGGUGCAGACCAAACGGCGGGCGCUGGAGAAGAUUGACCUCAAGUUCAUGGAUACCACAUCCAAGUUUGGCCAUGCCCGCUUCCAGACCCUGGAGAAGAAGGCACUCAUGGGACCACUCAAGAAAGACAGGAUUGCCAAGGAAGAGGGAGCGUAUUGUCGGGAGCAUGAGCAGCCUGUUGCAUCAAAUUAAAAAUGACUUU